rnacentral:pre_miRNA from 1 species
UAAAUACUCCCUCCGUUCCGAAUUACUUGUCGCAGGUAUGGAUGUAUCUAGAUGUAUUUUAGUUCUAGAUACAUCCAUUUCUGCGACGAGUAAUUUAGAACGGAGGGAGUACCUG